CCCUUUGAUACUCUGGGCGGCACGCGCGCUACAAUGGAUAACUUAACGUGUUACAUGUCCGAAAGGAUGUAUGCAAAUCACAAAUGUUAUGUCUCGAGUGGGAUAGUUUACUGCAAUUAUAGACUUGAACUAGGAAUCCCUUGUAGGUACACUGAAGCAUAGUGUACCGAAUACGUCCCUGCCGUUUGUACACACCGCCCGUCGUUUCUUCCGACUGAUACUCAUUGUGAAUUGCGGGGAUGACGUUGUUGAAAACCGUUGUAAAUGCUGGGUAUUGGAGGAAGAAAAAGUCGUAACA
rnacentral:rRNA from 1 species